rnacentral:rRNA from 1 species
AGACCGCGAAUGGCUCAUUAAAUCAGUUAUGGUUCAUUAGAUGAGUCCAAUCCUACUUGGAUAACUGUGGCAAUUCUAGAGCUAAUACACGCCUCCAAGCUCUGACCUAUCGGGACGAGCGCUUUUAUUAGACCAAGACCAAUCGGGCUUCGGUCCGUUUCCUUUGGUGACUCUGAAUAACCUUUUGAAGAUCGCACGGUCUCGAACCGGCGAUGCAUCUUUCAAAUGUCUGCCUUAUCAACUGUCGAUGGUAAGUUAUGCGCUUACCAUGGUUGUAACGGGUAACGGAGAAUCAGGGUUCGACUCCGGAGAGGGAGCCUGAGAAACGGCUGCCACAUCCAAGGAAGGCAGCAGGCACGCAAAUUACCCACUCCCGGCACGGGGAGGUAGUGACGAAAAAUAACGAUGCGGGACUCUUCCGAGGCCCCGUAAUCGGAAUGAGUACACUUUAAAUCCUUUAACNAGGAUCAAUUGGAGGGCAAGUCUGGUGCCAGCAGCCGCGGUAAUUCCAGCUCCAAUAGCGUAUACUAAAGUUGUUGCGGCUAAAAAGCUCGUAGUUGGAUUUCAGUCGUAGGCCGGUGGUCCACCGCCCGGUGGCUACUGCCUGGUCUGGACACCUUGCCAAGCUCUCCGGCAAUGCUCUCCGGCAAUGCUCUUGACCGGGUGUCGUUGGUGGCUGGAACGUUUACUUUAAAAAAAUUAGAGUGCUCUAAGCAGGUGCUAUCGGCUUGAAUAACACAGCAUGGAAUAAUGGAACACGACCUUGGUUCUGUUCUGUUGGUCUUUGGAAGCCAAGGUAAUGAUUAAUAGGGACGGACGGGGGCAUUCGUAUUGCGACGCUAGAGGUGAAAUUCUUGGACCGUCGCAAGACGAACUACUGCGAACGCAUUUGCCAAGAACGUUUUCAUUAAUCAAGAACGAAAGUCAGAGGUUCGAAGGCGAUCAGAUACCGCCCUAGUUCUGACCAUAAACAAUGCCAACCAGCGAUCCGCCGGAGUUACUCCCAUGACUCGGCGGGCAGCUUCCGGGAAACCAAAGUGUUUGGGUUCCGGGGGAA